GCCAGAUCCGGACACCCGAGCAUCUCCAGGGACGGUGACUCCAGCACCUCCUGGGCAGCCUGUCCCAGUGCCUGACCUCACAACCAGGAAAACUUACUGUCUGCUUCAGCUGCUGCUUGGAAAAUGAAAACACAUCUCUGUCUGUCAGGACCUGAGGGCACCACAAGACAUCAGUGGCCCUGCCCUGACUCACCUGGGACCUUCUCCAUGGGUUCAGCAGCCCCAUCUCAGCUCAGCCUGAGGGUUUGAGACCUUUCUGCACAGGGCUGCAGAGUUCUCUCUUCCCAAAUUCCAGCCCCUCUUCCCUGGAAUCUGCCUUGCCACUGUGGAUGUUUAUUCUUGAAAACGUUUAUUACUGAAAACUGAAUGUUAUUAUUAGAAAACUGGAGAUUGAAAGAGCCUAAUUGCACUUCAGUAAUUGUAAUUUUUUUUCUCUGAGCAAAAAGAAAAGCUAAUAAAAGAUAGAAAGUCAAUUUGAUCCAA